rnacentral:misc_RNA from 1 species
UUGAAAAUAAACCUGAUGAGUUGCUGCUGGCUCUCUAGGGAGUAUUGUGCACACUUGUCAUCUUUAUAUCUCCACCUGUGCACCUUUUGUAGACCUGGAUAUCUCUCUGAGUGCUUAGCACUUCAGGUUUGAGGAUUGACUUUUAUUGUUCUCUCUUUAUAUUUCCAGGCCUAUGUUUCUUCAUAUACACAUUGUAUGUUAUAGAAUGUAGUAAAUAGGCCUUUGUGCCUAUAAACCUAUA